rnacentral:rRNA from 1 species
GUGACGGAUAUUCAGCUCAUAGCGUAUAUUAAAGUUGUUGCAGUUAAAAAGCUCGUAGUUGAACCUUGGGCCUGGCUGGCCGGUCUGCCUCACCGCAUGUACUGGUUCGGCCGGGUCUUUCCUCCUGGGGAUCCGCAUGCCCUUCACUGGGUGUGUUGGGGAACCAGGACUUUUACUUUGAAAAAAUUAGAGUGUUCAAAGCAGGCCUUUGCUCGAAUACAUUAGCAUGGAAUAAUAGAAUAGGACGUGCGGUCCUAUUUUGUUGGUUUCUAGGACCGCCGUAAUGAUUAAUAGGGAUAGUCGGGGGCAUCAGUAUUCAGUUGUCAGAGGUGAAAUUCUUGGAUUUACUGAAGACUAACUACUGCGAAAGCUUUUGCCAAGGAUGUUUUCAUUAAUCAGUGAACGAAAGUAAGGGGAUCAAAGUUUUUUUUUUGUU